UCCUGCGCCGAAGAUGUACCGGGGCUCAAGCCGUGUACCGAAGCUGCGGACGUGUCUUUGACACGUGGUAGCGGAGCGUUCCGUAGGCCGUUGAAGGUGAACCGCAAGGUUUGCUGGAGGUAUCGGAAGUGCGAAUGCUGACAUGAGUAACGAGACGAGUGUGAGAAACACUCGCGCCGAAAGUCCAAGGGUUCCUGCUUAAAGCUAAUCUGAGCAGGGUGAGCCGGCCCCUAAGGCGAGGCCGAAAGGCGUA
rnacentral:rRNA from 1 species